GGAGGUACUUUGGAGAGGUAAUUUUUUGAUUUUCCCCAAGAUUGUUGACUUUUUUCAACAAAUGGAAAAAAAACAUGGUAAUACCGGAAAAAUUAUAGGAAAAACAGGAAAAUCAAAUCAAUAUUAAAGAAAUAUUAUUAAAGAAAACAUAUAAUUCCUAUUUAAUUAUUUUACCAUAGUCCAUAUGAUGUAUAUAUUGUUGACAAAGCAUCACUAUCAACUGAUCUCUACUUAGAAUCAUUCUUU